CGUUUGGGGUGCUUCAGUGGCUGGCUGCUGACACUGGCAUGCCUGGGGUCUAAGCUUCAGUGUGUAAGAUCUUCCCUGUCCUUCAGACCCAUGAGAUCUCAGGACCCCCAGCACUGACUUUAUGUUUCUCCAAAGUGUUCUUUGCUGUGAAGCAUGUGAAAAUGGAGCUGGCCCCUGCCUAGCAAGGCUCCUUGCUCACUGAGCUGCUCCAGGACUACGCUCUCAGAAGGACCAAAAUCAGGCUGAAACUUGGCAUCCGAAGUCACAAGGGAGAAACUAGGAAGAAAGAAACCACCCCUGGCUAAGCUGCUUCUGGGUGAUAUGAAAGUGAAAUUGCUGGGAGCUUUGCAGGGAACAGUCAGCUCCAGGAAGGCUUUGGGGUACCCUUACCAAUGCUUCCUACACCCAACCCCCCACCGCUCCUUCAGCCGUGUUACUGCCACUGCUGCGAUGCCAGACGGCGAGCGGGAUCAGUAAAACCGAUGCAGGUUUGAGCUCGUGGCAGGAAAACGAGGGAAGCCCAACAGCACGACACGAAGGCUCAAGCAUUGGAUGGGCCAUAAAAAAACACUUCCAAAGUACACCUUUUGUAAAAUCUCAUUAUUUUCCGAGGGUUGAUUCAUGACGGUUGAAUCGCCAGGACCAGCAACAUUCGUAUAAUGCAGAAGAGCAAUAAACAUUACAGAAGUAAAAAAGCACAGCUCUUCUAUAUCACACGCCAGCUGCAGCGACACUACGCCUCAGCUGGAUUUAUUGUGGCGUCCUCCAGCAGAGCGAGUGGCGAAGUGCUGCCAUUACUUCUGAUUAUGAACGGAUCGGAUCUGGCUACCCAAAGGAAUUUACUCUGCAGUGUGCUGUUUCAAUGCAAUGACAUCACAGACACCGGCAGGGUUCCUACCCAGCAUGAGAUAGACACAGCUCCCAGCAUCAUCUGGCACCCAGCAAGUUCACCUCUGGAACUUCCUCAAGCUCUUUCUGGAAGUGACACAGAGCUGCUCAGUGCCCCGGCACUCAGGUUCAGUUUGGACAAGGAUUUUGGAUGUCCGCAUAGAAGAGCUGUUUGAACACAGGGGUUUAGUUUGGUGUUUUACUAAAUAAACUUUGCAUUUACAAAC
rnacentral:lncRNA from 1 species